UUGUCCUGGCCUCUGCUUUUUCUACUCCCCUCUGUUUUUUUGGCCCCUCCUGUGCUCAGUUCUAACAAGGUAGUAUGGCAGGACACACAGCAGUCUCCUUCAGUUUAGGAGGGCUGUCUUUAGAAUAGAGCUGUCUUUUAAAGGCAUGAGAGUACAAU
ensembl:scaRNA